UAGGGAAUAUUGGGCAAUGGCCGAGAGGCUGACCCAGCCAUGCCGCGUGCAGGAAGAAGGCCUUCUGGGUUGUAAACUGCUUUUAUCUAGGAAGAAAACGCCCCUGCGGGGGUAACUGACGGUACUAGAUGAAUAAGCACCGGCUAACUCCGUGCCAGCAGCCGCGGUAAUACGGAGGGUGCAAGCGUUGUCCGGAUUUAUUGGGUUUAAAGGGUGCGUAGGCGGCCCGUUAAGUCAGCGGUGAAAUCCCGGGGCUCAACCCCGGAACUGCCGUUGAUACUGGCGGGCUUGAGUUCGGUCGAGGCGGGCGGAACUGGUGGUGUAGCGGUGAAAUGCAUAGAUACCACCAAGAACCCCGAUUGCGUAGGCAGCUCGCUGGGCCUGAACUGACGCUGAGGCA
rnacentral:rRNA from 1 species